CGGGGGGCGGGGGACACCCAGCUCAGGUGAGAGGCUCUGUCCGGGAUGGGGGUGCGGUAGCCGGCCAGGCGUGGAGCGCUCCUGGGUUGGAGAAACUGAGGCCCUGGAAGUGGAAGUAACUUCACACAGCAGGACCGGUACUGGAGACCUCUCUUCAGAGCCUGCCAAGUAGAUCCAUGAUAGCCUCCUUGCCAGCAGUGGGGAAGGAUGGCACACAGCAUCCCCGAGAGGCCCAAGGUCUAGGAAGAUUCCCAGUGAAGAUAAUAAAAUGACUCUAGACUGA